CCUACGGGAGGCAGCAGUGGGGAAUAUUGCGCAAUGGGCGAAAGCCUGACGCAGCGACGCCGCGUGAGGGAUGAAGGUCUUCGGAUCGUAAACCUCUGUCAGCAGGGAAGAACGGUCACUGUGCUAAGCAGCAGUGAAUUGACGGUACCGGCAAAGGAAGCACCGGCUAACUCCGUGCCAGCAGCCGCGGUAAUACGGUGGGUGCGAGCGUUAAUCGGAAUUACGGGGCGUAAAGCGCUCGUAGGCGGUAUGUCAAGUCAAGGGUGAAAUCCCCGCGCUCAACGUGGGAACUGCCUUUGAAACUGGCACACUCGAGUGUGUGAGAGGGUAGUGGACUUCCAGGUGUAGGAGUGAAAUCCGUAGAUAUCUGGAGGAACAUCAGUGGCGCAGGCGACUAUCUGGCCCAUAACUGACGCUGAGGGGCGAACGCGUGGGUAGCAAACAGGAUUAGAUACCCGGGUAGUC
rnacentral:rRNA from 1 species